AAUGCCGGGCGAACGGACGCGGGCGGAAAGGUAGCUGUCCUGGGGGAUAGUUCCGAAGGCCUUCUCUGCGGCGGCGUUCUGGAAGACGACGGUCUCGUCGGCCGCCACGACGAGCACCGGCAUGUCGA
rnacentral:sRNA from 1 species